rnacentral:rRNA from 1 species
GGAAUUUUGCGCAAUGGGCGAAAGCCUGACGCAGCAACGCCGCGUGGGUGAAGAAGGCCUUUGGGUCGUAAAGCCCUUUUCCGGGGGAAGAGAUCGGACGGUACCCCGGGAAUAAGCACCGGCUAACCUCGUGCCAGCAGCCGCGGUAAUACGGAGGGUGCAAGCGUUGUUCGGAUUUACUGGGCGUAAAGGGCGCGUAGGCGGAUGUGCAAGCUGGGGGUGAAAGGCCAGGGCUCAACCCGGGACGAUCUCCCAGAACUGCGCAUCUAGAGAGAGUCAGAGGCAGGUGGAAUUCCUGGUGUAGAGGUGAAAUUCGUAGAGAUCAGGAGGAACACCGGCGGCGAAGGCGGCCUGCUGGGACUCAUCUGACGCUGAGGCGCGAAAGCGUGGGUAGCA